CUUCACAGUUUCUUAGGUUCCAUUUAAUUUGGUAUUUGUUUUUGUGUGAUAUAUUUCUCUUAGGGCAUGUCAAAUGGUAAAGCUGCAAUUAACAGUGUCUUUUUUGUGUUGCAGUUCCACCAGUACCAGGUUGUUGGGAGGAAGCUCCCUAUGGCAUCUGAUGAGCACCCCAAGAUUUACCAAAUGAAGCUCUGGGCCACCAAUGAGGUUCGCGCCAAGUCCAAGUUCUGUAUUUCCUGAGGAAGCUGACGAAGGUCAAGGAGAGCAAUGGCCAAGUGCUUGCCCUUAAUGAGUCAAUGUUGUUUUGCGGUGGGGAAGUGGUUCCUCCUCAACUCUCCUCCUGGCGAAAUCCAAUUUGUUGCCAAAGAUGUGAAGGAGGCUGCGUCAAAGGCACCCCCUCGAAAUGACCGGUCGAAUUGGAGACGUAUGUUUUCUUUUCUUUUUUUCUGUUUUUUUUUCCCUUCAAAAUUGAAGCCUCCACUUUGCUGAAUAAAGGCUCCUCUUGGAUUUAGUGUUUCGUUUUGAUGAAUUUUGGGCUCUCACAUGUCUGCGAAAUUGCUAACCUUUCUUUUGUAUUGGGGUUCCAAUUUUCCAAAAUCAGUUCUCCCUAAGGUGAUAAGUUUUUCCUCUCUUUUUUACUUUUAACUCUGAGGUCUCUGUCCAAAACAAUUUUUUUUUUCAUAGUACGUUUUAUGCAAUGUACAGAUAUAUUAUAGGAAUGAAUCUGAGUUAUCUCCUCUGUUCAAGAAGGCAAAUUCAUAGGAAGGUUUAUGCUUCUUUGGCAAGAAGGCAAAUGCUGCAAGGAACCCAAAAAUACCAGGACUCUUCAUGCCUAACAGAAACCCAAUAGAUGACUGUUGGGAAUGUGACUCAAAUUGGCCAAACAACAGGCAGA